rnacentral:rRNA from 1 species
AUGACUAAUUCUGCACGCCGUCGCCGGAAAUCUCCAACCUUUCAUACAACUAACUCUGAUGAAAGUUGUAGUGUGGACAUGAGUGAUAGUGACGGCUCGUCUCAAUCAAAAUCAACCAGGAAUAGCCGUAGAAGAUCUCCCAAGAAACUUAAGAGAGAAGCUACCGCCCAAGUUAAGCAGAUCAUCAACUGGAAAUGUGAUCCAAACAAGAUAAGCGCCAUUAUGAAAGUCCUUUGUCAAGGAAAAGUUCUGCUUGUGUUUCAUGGAAGUCAUUCUUUGCGCCUACUUAGCUCCAACGACUGGUUACCAAAUUAA